rnacentral:rRNA from 1 species
AAUCAACGCUGGCGGCGUGCCUCAGACAUGCAAGUCGAACGCGAAAGUCCCCUUCGGGGGACGAAGUAGAGUGGCGCACGGGUGAGUAACACGUAGGUAAUCUACCUUCGGAUGGGGAAGUAACAACCGGAAACGGUUGCUAAUACCGCAUAAUGCAGCGGCACCUAAUGGUGACAGUUGUUAAAGACGGGGGAGUCGAAAGACCUCGCGUCUGAAGAGGAGCCUGCGGCGGAUUAGCUAGUUGGUAAGGUAACGGCUUACCAAGGCGACGAUCCGUAGCCGGCCUGAGAGGGCGGUCGGCCACACUGACACUGACAUACGGGUCAGACUCCUACGGGAGGCAGCAGUCGGGAAUUUUGGGCAAUGGGCGAAAGCCUGACCCAGCAACGCCGCGUGAAGGAUG